rnacentral:rRNA from 1 species
AUUGAACGCUGGCGGCAUGCUUUACACAUGCAAGUCGAACGGCAGCGCGGGGCCACCUGGCGGCGAGUGGCGAACGGGUGCGUAAUACAUCGGAACGUACCCAGAAGUGGGGGAUAACGUAGCGAAAGUUACGCUAAUACCGCAUACGUUCUACGGAAGAAAGUGGGGGACCUUCGGGCCUCAUGCUUUUGGAGCGGCCGAUGUCUGAUUAGCUAGUUGGUGAGGUAAAGGCUCACCAAGGCGACGAUCAGUAGCUGGUCUGAGAGGACGACCAGCCACACUGGGACUGAGACACGGCCCAGACUCCUACGGGAGGCAGCAGUGGGGAAUUUUGGACAAUGGGCGCAAGCCUGAUCCAGCAAUGCCGCGUGAGUGAAGAAGGCCUUCGGGUUGUAAAGCUCUUUUGUCAGGGAAGAAACGGCUGAGGAUAAUACCUUCGGCUAAUGACGGUACCUGAAGAAUAAGCACCGGCUAACUACGUG